GAAAAGCACUUUGAAAAGAGAGUUAAACAGCAUGUGAAAUUGUUGAAAGGGAAGCGCUUGCGACCAGAGUCGGCCGCGGGGGUUCAGCGGGCAUUCGUUGCCCGUGCAAUCCCCCGCGGCCGGGCCAGCGUCGGUUUCGACGGCCGGUCAAAGGCCCCCGGAAUGUGUCGCCUCUCGGGGCGUCUUAUAGCCGGGGGUGCAAUGCGGCCAGUCGGGACCGAGGAACGCGCUCCGGCACGGACGCUGGCUUAAUGGUCGUCAGCGACCCGUCUUGAAACACGGACCAAG
rnacentral:rRNA from 1 species